rnacentral:rRNA from 1 species
UACGGAGGGAGCUAGCGUUGUUCGGAAUUACUGGGCGUAAGCGCACGUAGGCGGCUUUGUAAGUUAGAGGUGAAAGCCUGGGGCUCAACCCCAGAAUUGCCUUUAAGACUGCCAUCGCUUGAAUCCAGGAGAGGUGAGUGGAAUUCCGAGUGUAGAGGUGAAAUUCGUAGAUAUUCGGAAGAACACCAGUGGCGAAGGCGGCUCACUGGUCCGGUACUGACGCUGAGGUGCGAAAGCGUGGGGAGCAAACAGG